UGGACACUGGGGUGGGAAAACCUGAAACUUGCCUGACUCAAGUGCUCUCUCGCCUAUGUUUUGACAUCUACAUCCUGUUCAACCUGCUCAUUUUGGACCUUUAUCACUUUAUAGACCCCAUAAAACAAACAGGCCAAGCAUACGCAUGGAACAGCCUUCUUCAAAAUGCAGCUGGACUGUGAUCCAUGGCAAAACACUGGAAUAACUCUGCCAGGUCCGAAAACCUUUGAGAUUCAUCCCAUUGAACUUGAUACAUACAGAACAACACCUUGAAAACGAACCAUCUGCUAGUUCAGUAUUUUCUUCUUACAAUCACUCCCUCCUGGGGUAUGUAAUUAAUUUCCUGAGCUUUAAAAGAAAAAGUUAGGGUUACUCACACAGUUUUGAAGAUGCAAUGCCAGCUAUUUAGAACAGAAACAUCCAAGGCCGUGCUAGAACUCAGUUAUAACUACAUAUACAUUAAGGCAGGAACCGGCAGGCCUCUGACUACAGAAACUAUAGGGCUCGUGCUUCUCAGCUGCCGGGUUAUAAUCUAUGAAACUGAGCCCUGAUCCAGCCAAUCAGUUCGCUCCUUAUAACAAGUCUAACUGGCUCUGGAAAGCUGAAAAGGCUGCACUGGAGCGGCAUAGAUGAUAUAUUCCACAUAAUAAUCUGCUUAUCUAGAAUCACUCUGCCUAGAAAGGCCAGAGAAAAUCGCAGCUUCAUUAUCUGAGGAAAGAAGGACAGGUGAUCUGGCAAAAACAUUUCUGAACCUGGAGCAAGAACGAUCCUCUGGCUUGGCAGUCCCAACAGUGCAGUGUGAAAGGAACUGAGCCUCCCCAGAAAUCCAAGGGCAGCCACAGCAGCAAAACCGGAGCUUUUGCAGGAUCACUUGUUAUUAAGUAUGAGUAGAGAGAAAGAAACUCGCAACUAACAUGAUCAUCUGCUGAGCAAAAUAGAUCAUUUUCCAGGACAGAUUUAAAGCUACCUUUCCGGAUGGGCAGCCUCACAGCCAGUCACAGAAACACAGUAAACGGGGCUGACAAGGAGUGAAGAAAAGGGCUACAGGAAAAAAAUCGCCUGCUUUCCACAUCUGAGAGAAAUCACUAUGCUCAGAGGUUUCCAACCAUGGAAAGAACCAAGUUCAUGAACCAAGGUAUCACUGAGCUCAUAAGAAUUCUGCAGUUUCAUUCUCUCUAUGAAAAAGAUCAAGUUACAAAGAAGCCUCCUCCACACUGAAGCAGAGAGCCAAAGAAAAAUGAUCUAACCACAGUCUGAAUCUGCUGGACAGUUAAUCACCUUCAAUAAGCUCCAAGCCUGGGCUGUAAUUGUUUCCACCAUCUUUUCCAACAGUUUGCAUCUUCUUUUUCAAUUUUAUUUGACAUUAAAUUCGAUGAAGUCACCCUUAUUUGAAAAUUAAAAUUCAUCAUCAUAAGAAGCUGAGGGAGGAUGCUUUU